GGUCAAGGCAGCGUCGUUUGCUGAGAGGGAAAUCGCGCGUCACCAGGAGGAGCUUCGCGACGGGGUAGCGUGUCGCGGCCGUAGCGGAUCGGACGAGGCUGGGAGGGCCUGCCGGAGUCGGGCGAGAGGAACUAGCUCAACACCAGAGAGAAAGGAGGCGAGCAACCACUGGUCGAUGAUUCGGUGCGCAGGCAGCAGUAGAUGCAGCAAGGAUAGAGACAGCCACAUCGACCACCACAUCUUCCUCUCCCCCUCCAUCUCCUCUUCCUCACACAGUCCUUGGAUUUUUCCAGUCACCUGUCGUAGCCUUCCCCAUCGCCGACAUCUUCGUUUACGAUUCCAUCGAUGACGAACUGUUAUUUCCUUCUCUGGUUCCGCUGCUUCGGUUCGACCUGUAGAUUGGAUUGAUUUUUUUUUUUGACGAUUUGAUUUUCAGUUCCUUGAUUUUUGUUUGCAGGCUGCUCUUGCUGUUGAUUAAUUUCAUGACCGCGAUGUUCCUCUGGUCGUUUCCCGAACUCCUUUCUUUUACAACUCUCAUCUGCGGAGAAGGCAGACAAAUCUUAAUCCCCUUCCAACCUUUAAUUCGUCUAACUAAAUCCAAGGUACGUUUUCUUUUCUUUACAUUGCAGUUCGCAAAGGAUCGAAUCAAGAGUUUCACAUGUACAUCUGAUGUGAUUCCGUGCUUAGCCCGUCGCUGCAAAUUUCUGCUCUUCUUCAUGAUUGAUGUGCGGCUAGGUAUUUUGCUUGAUUGAAGGCAAGAACGUCACAUCUGCUUCGAUGUAUGCCAUGGAGCUGCUCUUAGUACAACAAUACAGUGUACUCUGUUAUGUAGUACAUGCUGAAGCGAUGGCCUUUAUGAUUGUUGCAAUGCCACCUCCAUACUUCUAUAGGUUUUCUUGAGGUUCUUUAUAAGUGUGCCUGGUGUUACGCCGUCAGCGAGUCCGGCCUGCUUAUUGACCUCCUCCAGUUUCGUGCCGUCGUCAUGGCUUUGAAGAUGCUACUGCUGUUUCACCGCUUUACCAUGCUGUUGAUACACAUCCAAGGCAGGUGAUAAUUAUAAUACUGCUGCUGAUUUUAAGAUAUAUUUUGUGUACACAGGGUGACACAAACGUAGAUAGGUUCCAGUAUUCACAUUUUUUUAACGUCUCUUAUUCAAUGCUUAUUUUUAAUAACGCCAAAAUCUAAGAAGUGCAGUCCAAACUUAGUUUCCUAACAUUAGGUACAUAUCUUAGAUAUGACAUUAUCAUAGAGUGACGAAGUUGGUAUUGGCUUUAGGACUUUUUCAAAGUAUUUUGAUGUAAUUCCAACAGUUAAAUACUAAUUGGUACAUUUAGUUGUACAUUCCUUACACAAACUUGCAGAAAAUGGUACAUAAUUUCCGGACAUACAAGCAUAGCAAAUCUAAAUAUGAGAUGUUUUGUCAUGUUCCUUUUCUGUGCUCCUACACAUUUAUAAUUUAGCAAAUUCCUAACUAUUAUUGUAGCUUUAAUGCCUAUAGCAUCCUUAUUCAUAUUAUUCUAAGUAUUACCAGAUUCAGUAUUCUGUGUUGAUUUCUUAAGGCCUCAUGAUGUUGGUGCUUUGUUUUUACAAUAGAAGUGCACCAAGGUGUUGUGGUAGGAUAAUUAUCCUAACAUAGAGAUCCCAUUUAAGGAACAAGAUAACCUUUAUUAUCGAGAGCUGAGGUACAUAAUUAAGGUAUGGAAAUUUUCGUUUGCAGAAUGGUAGCAUGCUUAGCUAGAUGCAAUUGGGAUCAAGGUUAUAGAAGGCUUGAAUUGAUAAAAUUGUUUCUAGAUGUGAAUAAUAAAAAAUCCUUGCACUCCUACUCUGUUGUGCUGUGUAAGCUUCAUGGCUUGAAUCAUCGAACUAUUGUGUUGCAAGUGUACUUUGAUCAUUUUAAUGAAAUGCUAAGUCAGGUGAUGCCACAAAAUUUGACACUCCAUAAUGCCCUUCAUCAUUUCACUAGGUUUGUCCACUCAGCUUUGCUUCAUCAUCUGGCAUGUCAAUCUUUUUUAGUUAGGCUUAGUUGAACUUCCGACAGUCUUCGUCUUCCGUGUGACUCGAUGAACUAGAUAUACUUUGUUUCACACAUAUAUACUAAAAAUGUUUGUAUUCUGCAAUACACAGAACUGCAUCUUUAAUAUAUUUAUCAAGUUAUUUAGGUCGAUGCAUGUAUGCCCUAACUAGAUAGCAUUACGUAUCAGAUGGAAAAUAGUUUGUUAUCUACCAGAUCAACUCCUGUAAGUACAUAUGGAUUUACCCAGGUUCCAUUGCAUAAUUCUCUUAGUCUCCUACUCUCCCUUAACACAAGACCCCUCUUUCAAGAUGAGGGGUUCUUACUGUGAAGACGGUGAAAGAAGCAUCGAGUAAGAUUUUUGGUGUUACAGCUGGUUCACCUUUUCAACAAUUUGAAGACGGUGAAAGAAACAUCGAUUAAGCUUUUUGGUGUUGUACUACUGCUGAGGAAGAGGAAACAAGAUAAUAAUAAUAAUAUAGUUAUGAGUUAGUGGGUUUGUUACAGCGUGUGCGCAUACCUUCUUUUAUGCUGACUGAAACUGCAAUCUAAGAAUGAAAAUGGGAAUCUGUAAUACAAGGUACAACUGCGAGUAAGUCAUUAUUCUUUGCUCUUUGUAGAUAUUGCAGUGAUUCCAUGUGGUUUACUUGUUGAUACUACUAUCUUUAUUUCCAUUCCACAAUGUGAGUAUGAACCUAUGAUGUUUGUUAAAUUGUUAUUUCAGUAGUGCUAUUUUUAAGUUUGUAUUGUAUUGUAAGUUUCAUAACCAAUGGAAGAAACGAUAAAUCACAUCACACUUAUAUUUAACCUUUUUUCCAGCCAAUAUUGGUCGAGAAAUGGGGCAUAUGGCACCUAAUACAUCAGCACUUGCCUCUGAUUUAGGUGUAAACUUACAGGAAUAGGACUGUAGGGCGUUUUAUUUUAGUAUCCAUGGUUUAUAGCCAGUAUUCCUUCUGGCUAACAGAAAAACAUCUAUCUUUUUUCCUAGCACGAAUUUUCCUGCUUAUACAUUAUGUCUGAAUUGUCUUUGUUAUAAUAUUUGUUACCUCUAGAUCAAGUUGCUAGAAUACAAACAGCUAUUGCUCGAUUGGGUCUACGGUUCACUUUGUUAUGCUCACAUGUUUUACUUAGUUUGAAGCAGCCAGUUGUUGUCAAUGCUUACCGGAACUUAAUACUUUCUCAGACGUGGGAGAAGUUGGAGCAUGGCAUGAGGAACUGGUGAUGCAGUUUCACUCAUGGCACACAACAUGAUCCGUUUAAAAAACAUUACCAUGUGCUGAAGGAAUCUUGGUAUCUCGGAGGACCUGGAGUAACUCUGAGAGGUGAGAUUUGAGGAUCAAUGAUCUUAAGUGAAGUGAACUUGGAAGCUGCGACCUGCCUCCAGCAAACAUCUAUUUGUGAAAUCUAGAAGGGACAUAGGAGUUGCAGUAACUCUAAGAUGAGAUUUGAGCAGGCCGCCUCUGAAGCUAACUGGAAUAACAUGACAACCGUGUCGCGCUGCCAAGGACACUGACUGGAUGAUCAGGAGUCACCAGAAAUUUUUGAAAUUGUGUUGGACACAUGUGUCUAUUUGCUUCUGAAUAAAGAGCUUCUCUGCGUAUAUGUGUUCAGGAGUGGGAGAAGAUGAGUUAUGUGGUUGUAUUUUGAACCUCUAUAUCAUACCCUCUAGAGAAGAUUAGAAUAUUCUAUUGGUACAUCUUUUCAGUCUAAACAAUGUGAAGCAAAAGUAUGCAUGCUUUUGUACGGUUACAUGUUUCCAUAAAAACUGUUGCCUAUUU